rnacentral:rRNA from 1 species
CCUACGGGUGGCAGCAGUGGGGAAUAUUGGACAAUGGGCGAAAGCCUGAUCCAGCCAUGCCGCGUGUGUGAAGAAGGCCUUCGGGUUGUAAAGCACUUUCAGUGGGGAAGAAAGCCUUGGGGCUAAUACCCUCGAGGAAGGACAUCACCCACAGAAGAAGCACCGGCUAACUCCGUGCCAGCAGCCGCGGUAAUACGGAGGGUGCGAGCGUUAAUCGGAAUUACUGGGCGUAAAGCGCGCGUAGGCGGUCUGAUAAGCCGGUUGUGAAAGCCCCGGGCUCAACCUGGGAACGGCAUCCGGAACUGUCAGGCUAGAGUGCAGGAGAGGAAGGUAGAAUUCCCGGUGUAGCGGUGAAAUGCGUAGAGAUCGGGAGGAAUACCAGUGGCGAAGGCGGCCUUCUGGAUUGACACUGACGCUGAGGUGCGAAAGCGUGGGUAGCAAACAGGAUUAGAUACCCUUGUAGUC